rnacentral:rRNA from 1 species
AUCAUCGAAUCUUUGAACGCACCUUGCGCCUCUUGGUAUUCCGAGAGGCAUGCCUGUUUGAGUAUCAUUAA